rnacentral:tRNA from 1 species
GGGGAUAUAGCUCAGUUGGUAGAGUGCUUGCCUUGCAUGCACAAGGCCCUGGGUUCAAUUCCUAGCACCA